GAGGGGUGGAUAAAGGAUCCCCACUUAUCCAACAUCACCACUGGGAUACUCAGAAUCUCCUUUAAUGUCAACAACGUCAGGUGUCCAGGCACACUGGUGAGUGUUGCCUGCUCCCGAGUAACCAAGGAGGUCUGGGCAACAAAGGUUCCAAAUUGUAGACAGUGUCAGCUCAAAGUGACUCCAGGUUGUCCUUUACUUGACCCACAAACUGACAUGUCACAAACUGAUGUGACACCUUAGCCAAGAGGGCAAAAUGCUGCUGGAAGGAGAUGAAGGACUGGAAACAAACCCAGGUCUCCAUGUGGAAGAUGGGUGAUACCUGGUUGAUUUUUGUCACCAGAUAUAGCAGCAGCUGUGCUGUGCUCGGAAGCUGUUGGAAUAUGUGAAAUGGCAGGGAAAUUUAAAUUCACAAGCUAAUAUGAAUGCAAUGAGAAGCCUGAAAAAAGUCAGGAAAUGCCAAAAGUUAAGUUUUCUGUUACUAUGCUAACGUGAUAUGUUGCAUUUGCUAAUCCUCUUUUGCUUACUUACUGACAUUUUUUAUUUAAUCUAUACCAUCAUAAGUGGUGGGGGGGGCAUGCAGGUUGGUCUUUCCAGCACGAGGGAGUCCCCAGCAAGCAUUCCCCCAUGGGAUCUCCCUUUUCCACUGUAUCAAAUGCAAACAACAUGUCUUCACUUUUAAAGCAUCUCUCUUCUGUUGGUAUGUUCUCAAAUGCAGUCAAGCUGCCCAUAUACACUUGUGAUCCAACAGCGGUGCCAGCCUUUACUGUCCUUUAGUCACAUUUUCCCAUAAGCACCUUUGCACUUUCUCCCAUGCCUCUGGGUAUGCAAGCUCUGUCAAAAAUUUGCAGGUCCACUACAUUAUCCUCCUUCACAUUUCUCUAUUAAACCCCUUGUCUGUUGUGAUGCCUGCAAAAUACUCAACAAUGAAUAGGCAGUUGUGUGACUGCUGCUUCUAAUAACACUCUAUGCUCAUCACAACUGGUUCACUUUUAUUUUGUUAAUUUGUUGUAUCCACCAGUUCUCCUUCACCUUUCUGUAUGCUCUUUGGGGCCAAAACUGUCUUUUAUUUUUGUGUGUAUAUAGUUCUUACCACAUUCCCUCAUUGGGAACUGUAGAUGCUAAUUGUGAUGCUAUAUGGAAUUUGAGGGGGCACUUUAGGAUAUUAUGAAUACCAAUAUUGUAAAAGUGCAAUGAGUUAUGCCGGAUGUGCUGUGCAAGUUAUCUGCAAAAAUGUUAUAAUUUGCCAGGUAUGAUAAUUGUUUGUGUUUGUAUCACCUUUGUAUUAUAGGUUAUGUGUAUGAUAUGUCCGUAGUUCCAAACUUGUACUGUGCAUCUGGGUGACACCCGCAGACAGAUUGACAUUAACACUGCUUAGCCUGAUGGACGGCCCAUCAAGGGACAUCAGCUAUACAAUUGACCCAUUGAGAGAAGGCAAGGGAUACACCUUAUGACUCAGCAUGUCAUGCAGGGAUAUGCCUAUGGACAGAACUAUAAAGCUUCCAGACCAUGUGUUUGGAACAAAGGAAAUUCAAGCUUCAUGAUCAAAGACUAUAAAAGGCAGCUGCAUUUUCUUUAUUUUUUUUUCAGUCUGGCUCCUUGUCUUCAUUCCUGCUUCUUACCUCUGGAGUAACCUUUCUACAAAUGAAGCUCUGAAAAAAGGACUGAAUGACCCAUCCAAGCUGUGGAUGUGUUCCAGAGGGAUUUUCAAGCCAGAAAACUCACCAAUACUGCUAGGA